rnacentral:pre_miRNA from 1 species
AGGGCUUCUCUGCAUUGGCAGGUAGAUGAUAACUCCACAUCAUGUAGUUAACCUGCCAAAGGAGAGUUGGCCUU